CUAGCAUUCAUUCUAAGUCCCGAUUCAUCACCAAACUUAGAAAGACAAUUCAUCAAAAUCCUAACCGAGAUGAGAUCACCCCUAGCAUCAAAUCAUCGGCAAAUGCUAAAUGAGUAAUCUUUAACGACCCACAUUUAUGUUGAUAAUUAAAAUCACUAUUCUCGGUAUCACCUUUCAACAUUCUCGAAAAAUAUUCAAGACAAAGCACAAACAAGAAUAGAGAUAACGGAUCACCUCGUCUAAGCCCUUUUCUUCCCUUAAAGAAGCCAUUUAGACUACCACCAAGUGCAGUGGAGUAAGGAAUAGAGAUGCAUUCCAUAAUCCAACCAAUAAACUUAAUUGGAAAAAUCCAAACCUUAUAGCACGCUUUUGAGAAAGUCCCAAUUCACCCAUCAUUUGUUUUCCUCAAAUCAAUUUUAAUAAGGCAUCUCGGGACAACUCUUUUCCGAUUAUAUUGUCUCAAGAGCUCUUGCGCAAGGUGAAUGCUCUCGAUCGUGCUUCUCUCUACAAAUGCCGCUUGUGCUUGAUCAACAAUGGAUCCAAGUAUAGGUCCCAAUCAAGAAACAAAAAUCUUUGCAAUGAUCAUGUAAAAUACAUUACAACAUGCAAUCAACCUAUAGUCUCCAACGGAAGAUGAGUGGUUUGUAUUACGCAACAUGGCAAUCACCGUAUGAUUAGUUUGUUUAAGAAGAGAGGAAGAGUCCA
rnacentral:lncRNA from 1 species